rnacentral:rRNA from 1 species
GAUGAACGCUGGCGGCGUGCCUAAUACAUGCAAGUCGAGCGAACGGACGAGAAGCUUGCUUUUCUGAUGUUAGCGGCGGACGGGUGAGUAACACGUGGAUAACCUACCUAUAAGACUGGGAUAACUUCGGGAAACCGGCGCUAAUACCGGAUAAUAUUUUGAACCGCAUGGUUCAAAAGUGAAAGACGGUCUUGCUGUCACUUAUAGAUUGUUCCGCGCUGCAUUAGCUAGUUGGUAAGGUAACGGCUUACCAAGGCAACGAUGCAUAGCCGACCUGAGAGAGUGAUCGGCCACACUGGAACUGAGACACGGUCCAGACUCCUACGGGAGGCAGCAGUAGGGAAUCUUCCGCAAUGGGCGAAAGCCUGACGGAGCAACGCCGCGUGAGUGAUGAAGGUCUUCGGAUCGUAAAACUCUGUUAUUAGGGAAGAACAUAUGUGUAAGUAACUGUGCACAUCUUGACGGUACCUAAUCAGAAAGCCACGGCUAACUACGUG